GCCAACAUGGCAUAGUGGUUUGAGUGUUAGACUAUUACUCUGGAGACCAGGGUUUGAUUCUCCGCUUGGCC